GACCCGAGAAAAUAUAAAAGAAGUGGAGUCUAUAGAUCAGUAGAAAAUUAUGUUCUCCUUGAUAUGAAAUAGCAUAACCCAAACCCUAACCUUUGAGAAAUCUAUCAAGCAAUUGUCAACGGUGGAGGUGGUCAAGUAGCGAUGGAAGAUUUCAGCCAAGGAGGUGAGGAUUCGAACAUGAAGAUGUUGAGAAUUGAGUCAGGGAACCAAUUAGUGGGGCAUAUUAUCCUCCUGCUACUGAAUCAAUCGCAAGUGCUGCAAAUCAGAAAAUUUCAUUGGAUGCAAACUCAUAGCAGGGACAGUAAUGAAUGUUGAGGAAGCAGAAAGUCUUGCUCUAUGAGAAGCAGUAAUGUGGGCAAAGGAAAAGAUAUUGGAGAAAGUAUGAUUUGUUAGUGAUGCUAAAUCAGUGACUGGUACAAUAAAUCAGUCAUAGAUGACUGUAAAACUUUUAUUUUUAGUUUUCAAUUUGAAUUCUUAAGAAGAAACCAUAUUAUUCUAGCUGAUCAAGCAGCUAAGUUUAGUAAGAGGUCUAGAACCUCAUGAGAAUGGUGGAGAAAUUUCCCUGAUUUUUCAGCUACUCAAUGUAAUCCUUCUUUUUAGCAAUACUGUAUUUUUCUCCAAUAUCUUUUUUCAUA